UUUGCAUCAGCUGGAAGUUGAUUGCCUUCGAUUUGGAACCAGGCUGCAUCCUGGGUUUGAACCAGGUGCCCAUUUCAAAGCCCACUGCGAAGUCUGCUCAAAACAAAACUGACGUCCCUGGAGGCCAUUGUGACAUCCAUUGUGUGGCAACACAGGUAAUCAAACUUAGUAAAAAACAACAUUAUACUUAAGGUAGGUUUAACAAAUGUUACGUUUACUAAUGAGUCCUUUCCUGUAAUCACAGCUUUGGAAGCCAGGCGGAGUGUCAGUGAGAGGAGCUGAAGAGAGAGAACGCAGGUAAAACCGAUACAGAAAAGGAGUAUUGUUUUCCAGUCAGAAGUGCUGCACCGAGAAGGUGUUUAUACCUGCUGUUAACAUGCGCCCUCAUCUUGUCUUU
rnacentral:lncRNA from 1 species